GAUGAACGCUAGCGGCAGGCUUAACACAUGCAAGUCGAGGGGCAGCAUAAUGGAUAGCAAUAUCUAUGGUGGCGACCGGCGCACGGGUGCGUAACGCGUAUGCAACCUACCUUUAACAGGGGGAUAACACUGAGAAAUUGGUACUAAUACCCCAUAAUAUCAUAGAAGGCAUCUUUUAUGGUUGAAAAUUCCGAUGGUUAGAGAUGGGCAUGCGUUGUAUUAGCUAGUUGGUGGGGUAACGGCCCACCAAGGCGACGAUACAUAGGGGGACUGAGAGGUUAACCCCCCACACUGGUACUGAGACACGGACCAGACUCCUACGGGAGGCAGCAGUGAGGAAUAUUGAUCAAUGGACGCAAGUCUGAACCAGCCAUGCCGCGUGCAGGAUGACGGCUCUAUGAGUUGUAAACUGCUUUUGUACGAGGGUAAACGCAGAUACGUGUAUCUGUCUGAAAGUAUCGUACGAAUAAGGAUCGGCUAACUCCGUG
rnacentral:rRNA from 1 species